UACGUAGGGUGCAAGCGUUAUCCGGAAUUAUUGGGCGUAAAGAGCUCGUAGGCGGUUUGUCGCGUCUGCUGUGAAAACUGGAGGCUCAACCUCCAGCCUGCAGUGGGUACGGGCAGACUAGAGUGCGGUAGGGGAGAUUGGAAUUCCUGGUGUAGAGGUGAAAUUCGUAGAUAUCAAGCGGAACACCGGUGGCGAAGGCGGCUUCGCGUGGACCGUUCUGCGUGAGACGCGAAAGCGUGGGGAGCAAAACAGGAUUGAGA
rnacentral:rRNA from 1 species